AAAGGAUUAGUCAUCAUUCUAUAAGUCACAUAAGCAAAACUUAAUGACACGAACUAAAACAGAUGCUAAUGUGUAUUUUUUGGGAUUAAAUAAGCUUUGGAAAAGAAUCCAGGGACUAAAACCAAUAUUUUUCUAUAUUGUCAGGGACUACAAACGCAUUUAAGGUAAAAGCUAACAGCCUCCGCACGCCGCCAAAACUCACCACCUCCGCACGCCGCCAAAACUCCCACUGCCUCCGCACGCUGCUGAAGCUCGCAGCGCCUCAUCGUUCCCACGAGUCAGGACUCCAUCGUGAAGAAGCUCUUCUACGCCGUUCAAGACGCGGACGAAGCUGUGAAAGUGUGAAGCCACCUCGUGGCCUUCGCACACUGAACACUGAACCUUGUUGCAACUGUUCAAUCCUUCUGAUGGGUCUCAAACAUGAUCCUUUGCAACAACCCACCAUCCAGUCCAAUCACCCUUUUGGUGAUUCUGGCAUUGACAAAUAGUUUCUGACUGCUCCAGCUGGUGACAAGUUCCAGCUUCUUCAUGAGGUAACUACUCGUUUUUUAGUAUGGAUUACACUAUGAUUUCAGAGAUGAUAAUGCCAAUGGCUAUGACUAGAUUUCACUAACUGAUUGUUGCUGAAUUUGGAGUUUGUUGAUUAGAGGGUUGGUGAAGCAACAAUUGGAUUCCUUUAACUAUUUUGUGAAAACCGAUAUAAAGAAAAUUGUUCAUGCUAAUGAGAUAAUUGCGUCCUCUAGGUACCCGCGUAUUUAUCUAAGGUAUGCUGCUCCAAUUAGUUGAUGUUGAGUACACUCAAGGAAAUCAUGAUAGCCCAUUUGAUAUAGUGGGGCAUGCUUUGUGCUUGUGAUACUCCUGAAGGUGAAGCUUGUGGACUAGUAAAGAACCUGGCUUUGAUGACUCAUGUUACUACUAAUGAAGAGGAGGCCCCCUUAAUUUCUCUGGUAUGUUUUGUGGGAUGACGAAAUUUCCUUUUAUUGUUUAUUAGUAUGAUUUGCUGUUACUAGCUGCUACAGACUUUGUAAUGAUUUGCGGGUAUGGUUGUAAACAUUUAUUGAACAUCUUUUGAACAGACAUGACUUACAAUUGGACAUUAUGACAUGUUUUAAUCCAAGUAACCUAUCCCAGCUAGUGCCGUGAUUCAAUUUAAUUUAAUGACCAUGUAGCAUUGAGGUCUGAAAUCAUGAGCAUUUGGUUAUCAGGUCUCUAGAGCUAAAUCAAUAACUGGUUUGACUGACGUAUAUAAUCAGUUGUUAGGACUUAGGAGUUGACUGCCCCAGAACAAAUUUUGUUAUAUUUUUUUGUUGGGGGGGGGGGGGGUGAGAGUUGGUUUAAACGACUUACAGUGACUGACCCCUAACUAGUUUAUCAUGAUUCAUAAAGAGUUCCUACCAAAAAUAGUUCAGAUAGUGUGCUUGAAAGUUGGUAGGUGAGCCUAUUUUUUUUUAGUGUUUAUCAAUUUGAUACUGGACUUAAUUUUAUUCAAGAAUUAUUAGGUUGCAAUGGCCAAAAGAAUACCUAGAUUUUACCAGGAUAUAUCUUCUUUUUUAUUUCCUGGAAAAUUAUAUUUCACAUACAUGCCACUGGCCCCAAGGGUGAGAGCAGCUUUAAAUUUGAUUGAUACCAGGAGUGCUUUUAAACUAAUGAUUUGUAUUCUUUUGGCCAUGGGUGGUUUUGUUCAGGGCUUUUUACGCAUCUCAGCUACACUCUGUGCUUGCAAGGGCUAAUCAUGGUCUUUCUUGCUCCUCAGUAGCACUUUUAUCUUGUUAUUUAUGUGAUUAUUGGAACUGGAUUGUGUUUAUCACUACUCUACUAUUUGGUGCUUUUUGAUAUAGAUGUAAGAUAACACAAGGUCUCCAUUCAAGUUUUUGUUUACUCUAGGUGUUUUACAUUUUAUUGUGUUAUAUUAUUUCUGGGACAGUGCUAUUGUUUAGGUGUUGAAGACAUGGAAGUGCUCUCUGGAGAAGAGCUUCAUGCACCAGAUUCCUUUCUUGUCAUUUUCUAUGGUUUGAUCCUUGGCAAGCACACGGAGCCACAGAAAUUUGAGGCGAGCUGGUAGAAUUGGCAAGUUUGUGAGUGUCCAUGUCAAUAUAAAGCAGCGACGUGUCUGCCUGGAUUCUGAUGCCGGUAGAGUUUGUUGUCCCUUUAUCAUUGCUGAGAACGGAAUUUCAAGAGUCAAAGAGCAUCACAUGAAAGAGUUAAUCUUAGGUGUAUCAUAUGUUUUUAUCUUGAACUUGAAAUUAAAAAAGGAAAUCGGUUUAAAAGAGAAUUCAAUUUUUCUGCUCUUCCAAGAUGGAGUGCGCACAUUUGAUGAUUUUGUAAGAGAUGGCUUGAUUGAGUAUCUUGAUGUCAAUGAGGAAAACAAUGCUUUGGUAUGUUCUGGUCUAAUUGCUUCUAGAUUCUGUUAUCUUUAUCCUUUUGAAGAUUGCUAUAUAUGAAGGAGAUGUCACACCUGAAACAACACAUAUUGAGAUUAGUGCAUAGCUCCCCAGGCAUUUCUGUUGCUGUUUGCCUCUUCAAUGUGGCUUACCCCUCUCCCCAAACUAAGUUUAUUAUAGUUAUUAGUUUUUCUUGCA